rnacentral:rRNA from 1 species
UACGGCGGAUGCCUAGGCGUUUCGAAACGAAGAAGGACGCGAUAAGCUGCGAUAAGCUGCGGCGAGCUGCAAGUAAGCUAUGACCCGCAGAUUUCCGAAUGGGGCAACCCGGCAAGAGUAACGUCUUGUCACCUUAUCUUCGAGAUAAGGAGAAAACACCCGAUGAACUGAAACAUCUAAGUAGUCGGAGGAAAAGAAAUCAAAGAGAUUCCCUGAGUAGCGGCGAGCGAAACGGGAAGAGCCCAAACCAAGAGACUUCGGUUUCUUGGGGUUGCGGACCUGCAACAAACCGGACACUUUAGUGGAAGCAUCUGGGAAGGUGCGGCAAAGAGAGUGAGACCCUCGUACACGAAAGAGUGAAAGGCGGGCAGGAAUCCAGAGUACCACAGGGCACGAGGAACCCGGUGGGAAGCAGGGUGGACCACCAUCCAAGGCUAAAUACAUCGAAACGACCGAUAGUGAAAAGUACCGUGAGGGAAAGGUGAAAAGAACCCCGGGAGGGGAGUGCAAAAGAACCUGAAACCGUAUGUCUACAAACAGUCGGAGCACAAUUUAACGUGCGACGGCGUGCCUAUUGAAGAAUGAACCGGCGAGUUAAUUUAUGCUGCGAGGUUAAGCGGGAGACGCGGAGCCGAAGCGAAAGCGAGUCUUAAGAGGGCGGAAGUAGUAUGGAUCAGACCCGAAACCACAGUGAUCUAUGCAUGUCCAGGUUGAAGCUCAGGUAAAAAUGAGUGGAGGACCGAACCCGUGCGUGUUGAAAAACGUUGGGAUGAGGUGUGCAUAGGGGUGAAAUGCCAAUCGAACGUGGAGAUAGCUGGUUCUCCCCGAAAUAGCUUUAGGGCUAGCCUCAGGCGAAUCACCAUAGAGACGGUAGAGCACUGAUCGGGCAAGGGGGCGUAAAGCCUACCGACCCCAGUCAAACUACGAAUGGCUCAUAUGGGCAGCCUGGGAGUCAGAAUGCGAGUGAUAAGACCCGUAUUCAAGAGGGAAACAGCCCAGACCGCCGGCUAAGGUCCCAAAUGCUGUGCUAAGUGGAAAAGGAUGUAGGACUUCGAAAACAACCAGGAUGUUGGCUCAGAAGCAGCCACCAUUAAAAGAGUGCGUAAUAGCUCACUGGUCGAGAGGCCCUGCGCCGAAAAUAUCCGGGGCUAAAGCACAGAACCGAAGCCGCGGCAGGGUGUACUAAGGUACACACUGGGUAGGGGAGCGUUCUUAUCUGGACGAAGGCAGACCGGAAGGACUGCUGGACGGGUAAGAAGUGAGAAUGCCGGUAUGAGUAGCGAAACGACAGGUGAGAAUCCUGUCCACCGAAAGCCUAAGGGAUCCUGGGCAACGCUCGUCGCCCCAGGGUAAGUCGGGACCUAAGCCGAGGCGAAAAGCAUAGGCGAUGGACAACUGGCGAAAAUUCCAGUACCGGGCGUCUUCGUUUGAGGAUGGAGUGACGCAGGAAGGAAGCUGAGCGCGCGAAUGGUUGGGCGCGUCGAAGGCGGUAGGCUUGUAUGGAGGCAAAUCCCCAUACUAUAAGGCCGAGAACCGAUAGAUAGGAAAGACUACGGUCAAUCUGAAUUCAGCUGCACUACACUGCCAAGAAAAGCUUCUAACGAGAAGACGUCCGCCCGUACCAAAACCGACACAGGUAGGCGGGGAGAGAAUCCUAAGGUGCGCGGGAAAACCCUCGUUAAGGAACUCGGCAAAAUGCAUCCGUAACUUCGGGAAAAGGAUGGCCGCUGAUGGUGAAGACAUUUACUGUUGGAGCUGUUGGCGGCGGCAGAAAAGAGGCCCAAGCGACUGUUUACCACAAACACAGGUGCCUGCGAAAGCGCAAGCUGAAGUAUAGGUGCUGACGCCUGCCCGGUGCAGGAAGGUUAAGGAGAGUUGUUAGUCCUUGAGAUGAAGCAGCGAACUGAAGCCCCUGUAAACGGCGGCCGUAACUAUAACGGUCCUAAGGUAGCGAAAUUCCUUGUCGGGU